CAAACGACUCUCGGCAACGGAUAUCUCGGCUCACGCAUCGAUGAAGAACGUAGCAAAAUGCGAUACUUGGUGUGAAUUGCAGAAUCCCGUGAACCAUCGAGUUUUUGAACGCAAGUUGCGCCUGAUGCCAUUCGGCUGAGGGCACGUCUGCCUGGGCGUCACGC
rnacentral:rRNA from 1 species